rnacentral:rRNA from 1 species
CUUGCAUAUCAAAAUAAGCGGAGGAAAAGAAACCAACAGGGAUUGCCCUAGUAACGGCGAGUGAACAGGCAAGAGCUCAGAUUUGAAAGGCACUUUUGUGCCGUUGUAUUCUGAAGUUAGGGUCCUGAGAAACGAUGCUUAAGUCUUCUGGAAAGGAGCGCCAUGGAGGGUGAUAGCCCCGUCUAGCAUUGACCUCAUAUAGGAUCUUAACAUGGAGUCGAGUUGUUUGGGAAUGCAGCUCAAAUGGGUGGUAUGCUCCAUCUAAAGCUAAAUAUCUGCGAGAGACCGAUAGUAAACAAGUACUGUGAGGGAAAGAUGAAAAGAACUUUGAAAAGAGAGUGAAAAAGUACGUGAAAUUGUUGAAAUGGAAGGGUAGGCCGCUAACCAUGUAGAGCCGUGUUUGGGGGGAAGAUAAAUGCUGUAGAAUGUAGCUCCUCGGAGUAUUAUAGAUGCAGUUCAUAUUCCCACCCGAGCGCGAGGAUCUCAGGUUCUACUAAAUGGUGGUCUACCACCCGUCUUGA